GCUCAGGAAGGAGUGGACCGGUAUAUAGUGCCCAUUUGUGAAGAGAUCGGUAUAAAUGCACACUGUGGGUCAUAAAUGAAACUGUCAAAGGGGUAAUAAGCAGCAGCUAGUAGAUAUUACGACAAAUACCCAAGAGGACCGAAUACCGCGAUGAUACAAGCGCCGAUGCCAACACCGAAAACCACCCGGCGGCAGGUGUCGACUAGCGGGGUAAGAGCCGCAGCUAACUUGCUCCGAACAAGCCGCGGUGGCUAACAAAUAUACCGGCUGAGAACGAGCAGUCUGCGGGGUAGACGAGAGCGACGGAGAAACUUUGUAUUAACUACCGCUGUUACAGGCCAGAUAUAGAGGGGAAUAUUUAUUCACAGUCAGGAGUCACUUAAGUCAAGCUACUUCAGUUAUCAUGUAGAAAACUCUGUCACUGUUAUAUUAGCUAAGCUAAACGUAUUAGCUUAGUUAGCACUCGCCUCUAGCUUAAUUUUAGCCUUGCUUCGACUAUUUGAGUUAGGUGUUAGCUGAUACAAGUCCAUCAUCUCAAAUAUGUGAGGAUUUACUGGACUCUCAUGAUACUUAUACCCCUUUUCUUAUCAAACCUGGUCUCUUUAGGUACAGUUUACACUUUAUGGUAAAAACUCAACAUUUAACACCAUUGACCAUGGAAAAGGACUUCAACAUAGAGCCGGACUUCACCGCUCAGAUGACAGACUUCCCCACACCUCAAGCUCGGAUGAAG